CAGACGAUGCGUCAUGCAUAUCAAUAAGCGGAGGAAAAGAAACUAACAAGGAUUCCCUUAGUAACGGCGAGUGAAGCGGGAAGAGCUCAAAUUUGAAAUCUUCAAGGUUUUACCUUGACGAAUUGUAGUUUAAAGAAGUGUUUUCUGUUGAAGUUUUGGUAAAAGUUCUUUGGAAUAGGACAUCAUAGAGGGUGAGAAUCCCGUAUUUGACCAUUAUUUUCAGCUGUGUGAUACACUUUCAAAGAGUCGGAUUGUUUGGGAAUGCAGUCCAAAAUGGGUGGUAAAUUUCAUCUAAAGCUAAAUAUUGGCGAGAGACCGAUAGCGAACAAGUACCGUGAGGGAAAGAUGAAAAGAACUUUGAAAAGAGAGUUAAACAGUACGUGAAAUUGUCAAAAGGGAAGCGUUUGACACCAGUGUUGUUUUCUCGAAAAUCAAUUAAAAAGAGUUGGAUUUUGUGUUGUAUUGACCUUAACAGUUUGCUUCACUCUUUUCCUGCUUUUUUUAAUGCACUUUUCGUUUAACAAGUCAACAUCAGUUUCUUUUGUUGUAAAAGGGUCAUUGGAAGGUGGCUUUCUCUUCGGAGAAAGUGUUUAUAGCCUUUGAUCUCUGCAAUCGGAGAGACUGAGGUCUGCAGCGUAGAUCCUUCGGGGUUAGAUACAUUUGUGCUAAGCUACAGCUUUUCAUAGACAACUUGUUGACUAUGAUCAGUCAUGUAACUUACUCGCUUAUGCUAUUUUACCUACGCUUAGGAUGUUGAUAUGCAUGACUGAUAU
rnacentral:rRNA from 1 species